UGCCAGCCGCCGCGGUAACACGCACUGUGCGAACGUUAUUCGGAAUCACUGGGCUUAAAGGGUGCGUAGGCGGCUUAACAAGUCAGGUGUGAAAUCCCACGGCUCAACCGUGGAACUGCGCUUGAAACUGUUAGGCUUGAGUAUCUCAGGGGUGAGCGGAACUGCCAGUGGAGCGGUGAAAUGUGUUGAUAUUGGCAGGAACACCGGUAGCGAAAGCGGCUCACUGGGGGAUUUCUGACGCUGAGGCACGAAGGCCAGGGUAGCGAACGGGAUUAGAUA
rnacentral:rRNA from 1 species